GCGACUGGUCAUUCCUGGGCUGGCUCCUGACCCGAGUGCAGAACGAUUCCACCGUGGUUGGCAAGGUAUGGCUCACUGUCCUGGUCUUACACAUCCUGCUUGUCGCCCUGCUGGGAAGUGCUGUCUGUGGGAUGAGCACUGCAAGUUCAUCUGCAAUACCCUGCGGCCUGGCUGCACCAAUGACCACUUCUCCCACUUCCGCUGGGGCUUUCCAGAUUGUGCUGGUGGCCGUACCCUCCAUCUUCUUUGUUGUCUGUGUGCUGCACUAGAUGGUGAAUGGGAGACAGUGGAUGUGGAGAGGGGGUACCUGCUGGAAACCGUGCAAGAGCUGGCAGCUGGAGGGGCUCUCCCUGGACCCAGGCUGGGGCCCCUUGGGGCUUCUUUCUUUCUAGAGGGGCAGCUCUUAGUAGGAGAGGAGGUUUUUCCCCAAAUGCCUUGGGGCUGCCACCUGGUACCCCAGCCUGCAGUCAUACAGGGUCCUGGCUGUCUGCACUGCCCACGUGGUGCUGCGGGCCUGCAUGGAGCUGGCCUUCCUGGUGGGGUCUACUCUCUGGGUGUGAUAUGCCAUGGUUGCUUCACUGCCACUCCUCCCCUGUCCCUCCAGUCCUGACUGCUUUGUGUCCAGAGCCAUGAGGAAGAAAAUCUUCCUGAACUUCAUGUGCAGGUGGGGUUGGGCUGCUUCCUCCUGAACCCGAUGGAGUUGUGCUACCUGGGC
rnacentral:lncRNA from 1 species